GCCCUGCGCCCGACCGGGGAGCCCCGGGCCGGCCAGCCGCGUGCCCGGCCGCCCCCGCGCUGCCUAGCGCCCCCCGAGCCCGCCGGACGCGCCGAGGACGGCCGGGAGGUCACCGGGCACCUGCAGCGCCCGCCCCAGGCUCUGAGCAGAUGCCAUGGAGAACCCCCCCCGGGGCCCGUCUUAAAAUGGCCAAAGGAAUUUUUCUACCUGUUGAUGUUUCUGUCCAGUGCGCUGAUGUGAUGAGAUGGCAAUUUUAGAAUUAUGUCCAGCGAUUUGGUGUUUUUCAGAAUCUUCGAGAUGCCAGACACAGUCACCACAAGUCUCACCUUGGAGACGUAACUGGCGCCCGCUCGAGCCAAUCGAUGAGCAACGGGACGACAGUGCGACAGUACUAGGUGUGAACCCCAUCAGCUGUGGUGGGUGCUCUUGGAGUCUGGGCGGUGUGAGGU